UGGGGAAUAUUGGACAAUGGGCGAAAGCCUGAUCCAGCCAUGCCGCGUGUGUGAAGAAGGUCUUCGGAUUGUAAAGUACUUUAAGUUGGGAGGAAGGGCAGUAAGCGAAUACCUUGCUGUUUUGACGUUACCGACAGAAUAAGCACCGGCUAACUCUGUGCCAGCAGCCGCGGUAAUACAGAGGGUGCAAGCGUUAAUCGGAAUUACUGGGCGUAAAGCGCGCGUAGGUGGUUCGUUAAGUUGAAUGUGAAAGCCCCGGGCUCAACCUGGGAACUGCAUCCAAAACUGGCGAGCUAGAGUAGGGCAGAGGGUGGUGGAAUUUCCUGUGUAGCGGUGAAAUGCGUAGAUAUAGGAAGGAACACCAGUGGCGAAGGCGACCACCUGGGCUCAUACUGACACUGAGGUGCGAAAGCGUGGGGAGCAAACAGG
rnacentral:rRNA from 1 species